AUACGGAGGAUCCGAGCGUUAUCCGGAUUUAUUGGGUUUAAAGGGAGCGUAGGCGGACGCUUAAGUCAGUUGUGAAAGUUUGCGGCUCAACCGUAAAAUUGCAGUUGAUACUGUGUGUCUUGAGUACAGUAGAGGCAGGCGGAAUUCGUGGUGUAGCGGUGAAAUGCUUAGAUAUCACGAAGAACACCGAUUGCGAAGGCAGCCUGCUGGACUGUAACUGACGCUGAUGCUCGAAAGUGUGGGUAUCAAACAGGAUUAGAUACCCUGGUAGUCCACACAGUAAACGAUGAAUACUCGCUGUUUGCGAUAUACAGUAAGCGGCCAAGCGAAAGCGUUAAGUAUUCCACCUGGGGAGUACGCCGGCAACGGUGAAACUCAAAGGAAUUGACGGGG
rnacentral:rRNA from 1 species